CAGUAGGCUGUAUACAGGGUCAGUUCCAGGGUCAGUAGGCUGUAUACAGGGUCAGUUCCAGGGUCAGUAGGCUGUAUACAGGGUCAGUUCCGGGGUCAGUAGGCUGUAUACAGGGUCAGUUCCAGGGUCAGUAGGCUGUAUAC